GUUAGGAAUAUUGGACAAUGGGCGAAAGCCUGAUCCAGCCAUGCCGCGUGAACGAUGAAGGCCUUCGGGUUGUAAAGUUCUUUAGCCGAUGAUUAUAAUGACUGUAGUCGGAAAAUAAGCCCCGGCUAACUUCGUGCCAGCAGCCACGGUAAUACGAAGGGGGCGAGCGUUAUUCGGAAUCACUGGGCGUAAAGCGUGCGUAGGCGGUUUUGUAAGUUAGGAGUGAAAGCCCAGGGCUCAACCUUGGAAUUGCUCUUAAAACUGCAAGGCUCGAAUCUCGGAGAGGAUAGCGGAAUUUCCAGUGUAGCAGUGAAAUGCGUAGAUAUUGGAAGGAACACCAGUGGCGUGAGCGGCUAUCUGGACGACUAUUGACGCUGGGGCACGAAAGCGUGGGGAACAAACAGGAUUAGAAACCCUAGUAGUCC
rnacentral:rRNA from 1 species